rnacentral:lncRNA from 1 species
CAGUCGGAGUGAGGGGUGCCUGAGGAACAGAAAUUCCACGGCAUGAUUUUAUCGGAUAGAUAAAGAUUGAUGAUAUCUUAGCAGCACCACCACCACCACCACCACCUUCGGUUGAUGAUGAAGAAAUCUUCUCCAUACCUUCUUUUUCUUCUUCUCUCCACAAUUCAGACAAAAAUAAAUCUUCGGUGUUCCUCGUCUUCUUCUUCUUUUACAGUCCCUUGGACCAAAUAGCCAAAAGCACAAAAAACGUGAAUAUUGAAUUCC